AGCGAACGCUGGCGGCAGGCCUAACACAUGCAAGUCGAACGAACCCUUCGGGGUUAGUGGCGGACGGGAGAGUAACACGUGGGAACGUGCCUUUAGGUUCGGAAUAACUCAGGGAAACUUGUGCUAAUACCGAAUGUGCCCUUCGGGGGAAAGAUUUAUCGCCUUUAGAGCGGCCCGCGUCUGAUUAGCUAGUUGGUGGGGUAAUGGCCCACCAAGGCUACGAUCAGUAGCUGGUCUGAGAGGAUGACCAGCCACAUUGGGACUGAGACACGGCCCAAACUCCUACGGGAGGCAGCAGUGGGGAAUCUUGCGCAAUGGGCGAAAGCCUGACGCAGCCAUGCCGCGUGGAUGAUGAAGGUCUUAGGAUUGUAAAAUUCUUUCACCGGGGACGAUAAUGACGGUACCCGGAGAAGAAGCCCCGGCUAACUUCGUGCCAGCCGCCGCCGUAAAAC
rnacentral:rRNA from 1 species